UACAGAGGGGGCAAGCGUUGUUCGGAAUUACUGGGCGUAAAGGGCGCGUAGGCGCCUUCUAAGUCGAACGUGAAAUCCCCGGGCUCAACCCGGGAACUGCGUCCGAUACUGGAAGGCUUGAAUCCGGGAGAGGGAUGCGGAAUUCCAGGUGUAGCGGUGAAAUGCGUAGAUAUCUGGAGGAACACCGGUGGCGAAGGCGGCAUCCUGGACCGGCAUUGACGCUGAGGCGCGACGGCGUGGGGAGCAAACCGG
rnacentral:rRNA from 1 species